CCCUACUUCCCCCCAGAUCUCAGAUCCGCUCCUCUCACUGUCUCACUCUCCGUCUCUCCCUUCUCACCCUCUCACUCAGAUGACGCCAGCCUCCACCACGAACCGCCGCCACCGCCACCUCUGAUUGCUUCGUCGUUUCUUCCGAUUUGACGCCACCGUCGACGCUGCGCUGCCACAGCCUCCCCUGCGAAGACGCCGACGCUGCCACCACCUCUGCCCCAGCCCUCACCGUUGACAGUCCCACUGCCUCGCCACUCGCCAGUCCACUACGGCGCUGCGCCGCUGCCUGUCCACCGCCUCCCACCGCAUCGCCUCCGCCUGUCCGCCUCGGCCCUCGCCAGUCGCCUCGAGCCCUCGACACCAGCUGCCGCCCAUCAGACACUUUGGAAAGCUGUGCCACAUUAUCUACAACGUGUUAGCAAUGCUCUGAAGAAUGCUUCUUUUCAGCUGAUAUUUUGGAUACUGUGAUUGAAAUUUUAAGGUAUUGUAUGAUAUGCCCUUUUAACAUUUCAGCAUACUGGAAGAAGUCUUCGAUUGACAUGCACACCGAUUGCUAAUUCACUGCUUACUGAAUGCUGAUUCACAUUAACAUAUUACUGAUUAAUGUUGAUUAAUUGAUACAAUUGAUAUAAUGUUGAUUCAUUGAUUAUGCUUUAGUGCUUAUGUUUAUGUUGAUUUGCUAAUUAGUAAGUUAGUUAUCAUUUGUCAAGAAGCAAUUGGAGUCAUUCUGCAGCAUUCUAAUGCUCGUGUUUAUAUAAUGUCAUUGUAAGUUCUAAAUUGGUUUCUCUUAAUUCUUCCAUCUCUGCCUACAUACUUUAUUGAAGUGUAAGCAUUUAUGUGUGUGUGUUUAGACACCUUGAAUGGUCUCAACUCUAUCACAUCUGCUACUUGCAUAUGACUAAGCAGUUUGUCCAUUUUAUCAAUUUCGCUUAGUUACAACUUUAAACUUUAAAUAAAGGAAUAAAUAGCUUGAAUUGGUUAUAUUAUUGUAUGUGUAUAUAUUUGUUCCCUCUUUGUAUGUGGGUAGUCAAAUGUAUUUUGAUAUUUAAUGAAUUGUUGGUUGUGUAUUAUUAUGAUGAAGGAAAACUAGAAUGCUAUCACAAGGAGGUAAGGAUGUUUUAAUAAAAUCUGUUUUACAAUCAUUUUUUUGCAUUAUUGUUCUUUCUUGUUUUUGAUUCUUUGUGUGUAAGAUAGUGAUCGAAAGAGAAGCAUUCUUGGUGAUCCUCCACCUUCACCAAUGGCAAUGGCAGAGAUUGCUCACCCUCCUAUGGAGCAACUCCAGGACCUCGAGUAUUGCAUAGACUCCAACCCUCCAUGGCGUACUUUCCCCUCUCUCUCUCGGUAUGUAUAUAUAUGUAUAUGUGUCCCAUUUCUUUCACUGUGUAUAUGUGCGUGUAUAGGGUAUGCGCUUGUUGUGUAUGUAGAAUGGUUUGAUUGUGAAGGGACAACAUUGUUUGCCAUUUGUGGGUAUCGAAAUGUACUAGGUAACUCUGUGUGGUCUACCCUUGUUUAGCGGUUUCAGUUGAUGUCAAUACUAGCUCUUUGGUCAUUUAGCUUAUUGACAUUCUUAUUGACAUUCUCUUUUGUUGUUCAAAAUGUUGUCAGAUUUUUUUUCCCAUGAUUUGGUUCUUGUUACAUUGCACUCGGUUCUGCUGUGUGUCAUGAUGAAUUUUAGCAAAAUGGGCAUCUGUUAACAGGAAAGCCACUGCUGGUUUGGGUGCUGUUGCUAAAUUGAUGACAAUGGCUGACACUUGGAAAGAUUCAAUUUUUCUAUGAGCAUUUUUUUUUUUAGUUUUUCCUUUUUGGGGAUGAAUGUAUUGUAUUGUUUCUUGACUUUUAAAAUUCACCAUCAAACUUUUGAAUGGUUUAGAAUGAGUUAUCCAGAAUGUAUAAGAAGUUUAUUGUAUAUUCAUGAAUGAAUUCUCAUCAUGGAAAUGAAAUGUGUCUGUCUUUCAACAA